AAAAGGACUGUCCAGAAGGCGGAAGUGGUGCAAGGAGCCACGUAGGGUCGCCUAAGAAAACCCUAGGAGAAAGCCGGGCCAGCUAAGAAUGCUGAAUGAUGCUUCUUCCAUCUGAAACAUUCUCUUGCCAUCGGCGGAAGAUUUAACUUGCCUUCUCUGAGCUGACAACAUUCAGUAGUAGGUGCUGCACUGUGGAUUCUUUAUUGUCCAGAGACUGACAGCCCUUCAGUGAGAAGCCUCUGAAAAG